rnacentral:rRNA from 1 species
AGUGAACGCUGGCGGUAGGCCUAACACAUGCAAGUCGAACGGCAGCACAGUAAGAGCUUGCUCUUACGGGUGGCGAGUGGCGGACGGGUGAGGAAUACAUCGGAAUCUACUUUUUCGUGGGGGAUAACGUAGGGAAACUUACGCUAAUACCGCAUACGACCUACGGGUGAAAGCAGGGGAUCUUCGGACCUUGCGCGAUUGAAUGAGCCGAUGUCGGAUUAGCUAGUUGGCGGGGUAAAGGCCCACCAAGGCGACGAUCCGUAGCUGGUCUGAGAGGAUGAUCAGCCACACUGGAACUGAGACACGGUCCAGGCUCCUACGGGAGGCAGCAGUGGGGAAUAUUGGACAAUGGGCGCAAGCCUGAUCCAGCCAUACCGCGUGGGUGAAGAAGGCCUUCGGGUUGUAAAGCCCUUUUGUUGGGAAAGAAAAGCAGCAGGUUAAUACCCCACUGUUCUGACGGUACCCAAAGAAUAAGCACCGGCUAACUUCGUG